CAGAACUAUAACGCUACUGACGUGUGGAAGGUCAGGGACGUGCUCACUAGGGGAAUUCUACUAACUCACUCACUGGCUACCUCCGUGGACUAUCUGUGUGUUAUGCAGGGUCUACUCGAUGAGACAUGACGCGUACUCAAGAUUACCGUUAGCUGGAUGUUGAAUGUUGUACACAUAAAAAGAAGAGAUUAGCUGAUACAAACAGUGUGGUACUGUGAGGCCGCGACGCUGCACGACAACAUGGCGAUCAAAGAGGCAACUUUUAUCGCCCUCCUGGCAUUAGUACAUUCGGGACAUGCGCAGUACACUAAGUUUCCGGAAGGAUUCACCUUUGGAGUAGCGACCGCUGCUCAUCAAAUAGAAGGGUCAUGGAACGUCAGUGGAAAAACUGAAAAUGUGUGGGACCAUCUGUCUCACAAUCGGCCAUGGAUGAUAGCUGACGGAACCAAUGGCGAUGUAGCCUGUGACUCCUACAACCGUUACCAAGAAGAUGUAGAUGAGCUGGCAUACAUGGGUGUAGAUUUCUACAGAUUGUCUCUGUCUUGGGCCAGAAUUCUGCCAACUGGACGAAUGGAUGUCAUAAAUCCUGAUGGUAUUAGAUACUACAAUGCACUCUUUGAUGCUUUAGCCGAAAAAAAAAUUGAACCACUGGUCACUCUGUUCCAUUGGGAUUUACCACAAUCACUCCAAGACCUAGGUGGAUGGGCGAAUCCGAAAAUGAUUGAUUACUUCCGCGAUUACGCAGACGUAUGCUUCAGAGAGUUCGGUGAUAAAGUCAAAUCCUGGAUUACACUUAAUGAGCCCUAUGAAAUUUGUGAAGAUGCUUAUGGGGAUGACAAGAAAGCUCCUGCCAUCGAUAGCCACGGUGUAGGAAACUACUUGUGCAGCGACACUCUGUUGAAAGCUCACGCCGAAGUUUACCAUCUCUACAACGACACCUACAGACCUAUACAAAACGGAAGAAUAAUGAUUUCAAUAAAUUCAAUUUGGUACGAGCCAAGUGAUCCCGAAAACGCGGAACAAGUUGCUCUGGCUGAAGUUGCUAACCAAUUUAAAUUCGGGUGGUUCGCAAAUCCUAUUUUCACCGAAGAAGGUGGCUAUCCCGUCGUAAUGGUAGAAAAUAUUGCUGAGCAAAGUAGAGCUGAAGGAUUAAAUAAACCUAGAUUAGAACAAUUCGAUGAGUACUGGAUUGAAAGAAUUAAGGGUACAUCAGACUUCCUUGGUAUCAAUCACUACACCACGCAUUUGAUAACCGGCGCGGGAGUGGACUCUCUCGCCAAACACCCGUCUUGGCUAAAAGAUAUUGGAGCGGUUGUAAGUUUGGACGUGGGUAGAGAUUCAGCCUCAGAGUGGCUAAGAGUAGUGCCAACGGGUUUUGCAAACUUAUUACGCUGGUGCAAGAGUACGUACAAUGAUGUUCCAAUUUACAUCACCGAGAACGGAUUUUCUGAUCGUGGCGCCAUAGAAGAUUACGACCGUAUUAGAUAUUACAACGACUACCUCUCCGAAAUUUUGAAUGUCAUUUAUGACGAUGAUGUCAAAGUCCUUGGUUACACUGCAUGGACCCUAAUGGACAACUUCGAAUGGCGAGCUGGAUUUUCUGAACGCUUCGGUCUUUACCACGUGGACAUAACGGAUCCGAAUCUCCCAAGAACACCGAAACUCUCUGCGGAAUACUACAAGCAAUUAUGUGAAACGAAGGAAAUACCUCAAGAUGAACGGUUCAAGGAUCCAGCUGUACGGAAACGUGUGUGAAUAAAAUGAGCAACACUAAAACCACUAAACACUAAACAAAUUAAACAGUAUCCAAUAAUUAAUUAAUAUAACUAACUAUAAUUAAAAUCGUCUAUGAUUUGAUGCUUCUCAACCUUUGCGCAUUAUUUGACACAUGUCAAAUAAACUAUAUCCCUAUAUAGUAUAUACGCAUAAUAAAAGUAGUAUACAUUAAUAAAUAUUUGAAAUAAAUUAAUGAUUACCAAAGAUUUUUGCGAAUUAAAAUUUAAAUAAAACGUAUGUCUUUCGGAGAUACUGCACUUAUUUUUUAUCGACUUUCAUUCAAUUACCAGUGGUAGCAGUUACUGAAGACUUAUCGAAAUUUAGCGUGAAAUGGGGAAUAAUAGAAACGCGUAGGUAAUUCCGAAAGACAUAGUUAAUUUAUAAAUAUAAAUAAAAAUUUAAUAGAAAAAUAGUGUUAAGAAAGUCCUAAAUAUCUGAUUUAGCUUGUUUCAUAACGUGUAAAUAGUGAGUGUGUGUAAAUAGUGAGAACGGCUGGCUUGUAUGGUAUGGCUUGAAAUAAAUAAUAUUUUACAAGACCUUAAAAUUGCAUAACUUUUUAAAAACUUCCAAAUAACGUGUAAAUUAUAACCUAUUCGGAAACAUUAAUAUUAACUUAAAUUUGAACUUGCUUAAUGGAUUUAUUAAAGUAUAUAUAGUAACUAUUACUCAUAUUUAUAUAACUAAUAUCUAAUAAGAAUAUUUCAUAAGGAGCAUUGGGAAAGGUUUUUAUUGGUGCCUGCUUAACCAAUCAUAAAAAGCGCAAACAGAGAAUAGAACUUUGAGGACUCGUGAGACGAGAUGGAAAUUAAAACUACGGAGGAUAUUAAAACAAAUAUUUAUUUAAUUCAUAUAAGAAUAUCAAAUUAUUUACAAUGAAAUUAUUAAAAAAAAAAUAGUUUAAAUGACAUUCAUAAUUUCAUUGUUAUAACACUGAUACAAGCAAUGUCAUAUAUACACUACAAAGAAAACUUGCAUGAGUCAGACUGAGAGAUAUGUAUGUAAAUAUAGUCUAUACUUAAGAAAUAAACGUUGUUAGAGCUCAAACGCUAUAUUGUUCCGAUGAUUAUUCGUGUUGUCCCAAGACUUGUCCCAAAGACGCGGUAAACAUGGAAUGUCUCACAUUGUUUUACAACUCGCUGUUGGACACUCGCACGUAAUGAGUCCACGUGGGAAUACCUGUUCCGUAUUCCUUUCAGGUCGAUGGGCUAUAUAUUUUUUUUGGCUUCAACUCGACUCUGAGAUUGAAAUAGCUAUGACUUUGAUAUGUUCGUUGUCAAUUUGAUUA